rnacentral:rRNA from 1 species
GAACCCGCGUGGCGGGGAGGAAAGCCUUUGGGUUGUAAACCCCUUUUCUCAGGGAAGAAGAAAGUGACGGUACCUGAGGAAUCAGCCUCGGCUAACUCCGUGCCAGCAGCCGCGGUAAUACGGAGGAGGCAAGCGUUAUCCGGAAUGAUUGGGCGUAAAGCGUUCGUAGGUGGCAAUUCAAGUCUGCUGUCAAAGACAGUAGCUCAACUACUGCAAGGCAGUGGAAACUGAAUAGCUAGAGUGCGGUAGGGGCAGAGGGAAUUCCCGGUGUAGCGGUGAAAUGCGUAGAGAUCGGGAAGAACACCGGUGGCGAAAGCGCUCUGCUGGGCCGCAACUGACACUGAGGGACGAAAGCUAGGGGAGCGAAUGGGAUUAGAUACCCCAGUAGUC